CAGUCGCCGCGGGAAUACGAAGGGUGCAAGCGUUAAUCGGAAUUACUGGGCGUAAAGCGUGCGUAGGCGGUGAGUUAAGUCUGCUGUGAAAUCCCCGGGCUCAACCUGGGAAUGGCAGUGGAUACUGGCUCGCUAGAGUGUGUCAGAGGAUGGUGGAAUUCCCGGUGUAGCGGUGAAAUGCGUAGAGAUCGGGAGGAACAUCAGUGGCGAAGGCGGCCAUCUGGGCCAACACUGACACUGAGGCACGAAAGCGUGGGGAGCAAACAGGAUUAGAUACCCCUGUAGUCCCUGUCUCUUAUAU
rnacentral:rRNA from 1 species